rnacentral:lncRNA from 1 species
CUCUCCUCUCUUCUCCCAAGCAAUCUUUUUCUCUUUUCUCUCUUUCAUCCUCCUCUUCCAUCCUUCUUCCAGAUGCUGCCCAAGUGCCCUCUCAGCUCAAGGAUGUCAGCAAGAAGAAGAUCCAGUACCGACUAAUUUUUCACAUCUUAGAAAACCACUGUAACUUGUCUAGAUGGUGUUCUUCCCUUUUAAAUAUUUUGUAUUUUUUUUUGAUAUGC